rnacentral:rRNA from 1 species
AACUGCGUGGAUUAGAUACCCCAGUAGUCCACGCCGUAAACGAUGGGUACUAGGUGUUGGGGGACAUUGACCCCCUCAGUGCCGUAGCUAACGCAUUAAGUACCCCGCCUGGGGAGUACGGCCGCAAGGCUGAAACUCAAAGGAAUUGACGGGGACCCGCACAAGCAGUGGAGCAUGUUGCUCAAUUCGAUGCAACGCGAAGAACCUUACCAGGGCUUGACAUCCGAGGAACCUCUUGGAAACAGGAGGG